rnacentral:rRNA from 1 species
AAUCAACGCUGGCGGCGUGCCUCAGACAUGCAAGUCGAACGCGAAAGUUUCCUUCGGGGAACAAGUAGAGUGGCGCACGGGUGAGUAACACGUAGGUAAUCUACCUUUGGAUGGGGAAUAACAACCGGAAACGGUUGCUAAUACCGCAUAAUGCAGCGGCACCUAAUGGUGACAGUUGUUAAAGCGGGGGAUCGAAAGACCUCGCGUCUGAAGAGGAGCCUGCGGCGGAUUAGCUAGNGGUUAAGGUAAUGGCUUACCAAGGCUACGAUCCGUAACCGGCCUGAGAGGGCGGGUCGGUCACACUGACACUGACAUACGGGUCAGACUCCUACGGGAGGCAGCAGUCGGGAAUUUUGGGCAAUGGGCGAAAGCCUGACCCAGCAACGCCGCGUGAAGGAUGAAA